AUUGAACGCUGGCGGCAGGCUUAACACAUGCAAGUCGAGCGGUAACAGAGAGAAGCUUGCUUCUCUGCUGACGAGCGGCGGACGGGUGAGUAAUGCCUAGGAAUCUGCCUAGUAGUGGGGGAUAACUUGCCGAAAGGUAAGCUAAUACCGCAUACGUCCUACGGGAGAAAGGAGGGGACCUUCGGGCCUUUCGCUAUUAGAUGAGCCUAGGUCGGAUUAGUUAGUUGGUGAGGUAAUGGCUCACCAAGACCGCGAUCCGUAACUGGUCUGAGAGGAUGAUCAGUCACACUGGAACUGAGACACGGUCCAGACUCCUACGGGAGGCAGCAGUGGGGAAUAUUGGACGAUGGGGGGAACCCUGAUCCAGCCAUGCCGCGUGUGUGAAGAAGGUCUUAGGAUUGUAAAGCACUUUAAGUUGGGAGGAAGAGCAGUUAACUAAUAUUUGACUGUUUUGACGUUACCGACAGAAUAAGCACCGGCUAACUUCGUG
rnacentral:rRNA from 1 species